rnacentral:rRNA from 1 species
UGCCCUAGUAACGGCGAGUGAAGCGGCAACAGCUCAAAUUUGAAAUCUGGCCCUCUUUGGGGGUCCGAGUUGUAAUUUGCAGAGGGUGCUUUGGCAUCGGCGGCGGUCUAAGUUCCUUGGAACAGGACAUCGCAGAGGGUGAGAAUCCCGUACGUGGGCGCCUGCCUUUGCCGUGUAAAGCCCCUUCGACGAGUCGAGUUGUUUGGGAAUGCAGCUCUAAAUGGGAGGUAAAUUUCUUCUAAAGCUAAAUACCGGCCAGAGACCGAUAGCGCACAAGUAGAGUGAUCGAAAGAUGAAAAGUACUUUGGAAAGAGAGUCAAAUAGCACGUGAAAUUGUUGAAAGGGAAGCGCUUGCAGCCAGACGUGCCCGCAGUUGCUCACCCAGGCCCCGGCCUGGGGCACUCUUCUGCGGGCAGGCCAGCAUCAGUUUGGGCGGUUGGAUAAAGGCCUCUGUCACGUAUCUCCCUUCGGGGUGACCUUAUAGGGGAGGCGCAAUGCAACCAGCCCGGACUGAGGUCCGCGCAUCUGCUAGGAUGCUGGCGUAAUGGCUGUAAGCGGCCU